rnacentral:tRNA from 1 species
GUUAAGGUGGCAGAACCCGGCUAUUGCAAAAGACCUAAGCUCUUUCUACAGAGGUUCAAGUCCUCUCCUCAACU